rnacentral:rRNA from 1 species
AAAUCUGGUUGAUCCUGCCAGAGGCGACCGCUUUUGGAGUUCGAUUAAGCCAUGCGAGUAGAAUGAAUUAGAUCAUUGCAAACUGCUCAGUAACACGUGGAUAACCUGCCCUAUGCUCCGGGAUAACCUCGGGAAACUGAGAAGAAUACCGGAUAGAUCACAACGCCUGGAACGGUGUGUGGUUGAAAGGUCACGGCAUAGGAUGGGUCUGCGGCGUAUCAGGUCGUAGGGGGUGUAACGGACCUCCUAGCCAUCGACGCGUACGGGUUGUGGGAGCAAUAGCCCGGAGAUGGAUUCUGAGACACGAAUCCAGACCCUACGGGGUGCAGCAGGCGCGAAAACUUCACACUGCAGGAAACUGUG